UUUAAUUGUGACGUAACGUCCGGUGGAGCUGUUGGCGGGCAGAACCAUAACGGGAGUGGGUUUAGGGUCAUUGUGUGAUUCAACAGCAAAGCUUUUUUCAGAAGUGGUUAUCCAAAGCACGCCACUAAGACCUUGGAUAGUUUUGUGUCACCGCGUGCUCGUCUUUGACCUGUGCCCGUCUGCAGCAGACGUCAAAUUUCAGUGCUUUCACUGGGGCCUUCCUCACGCCCAUCGCAACAUUUUCAGAGAAGGAGAGCUCAGCAGACGUCAAGCUGGCGACCGUAGCAGGAAAGAAGGCCAAGAAGGCUGAGGAGGAC